GCUUUCGUGGUGUAGUGGUCAGCACGCUCUGCGCGUAACCGAGAGGUCCGUGGUUCGAUUCCCAGCGAAGGCU
rnacentral:tRNA from 1 species